rnacentral:rRNA from 1 species
GAGGAAUAUUGGUCAAUGGGUGCAAGCCUGAACCAGCCAUCCCGCGUGAAGGACGACUGCCCUAUGGGUUGUAAACUUCUUUUGUAUAGGGAUAAACCUACCCUCGUGAGGGUAGCUGAAGGUACUAUACGAAUAAGCACCGGCUAACUCCGUGCCAGCAGCCGCGGUAAUACGGAGGGUGCAAGCGUUAUCCGGAUUUAUUGGGUUUAAAGGGUCCGUAGGCGGACUUAUAAGUCAGUGGUGAAAGCCUGUCGCUUAACGAUAGAACUGCCAUUGAUACUGUAAGUCUUGAGUAUAUUUGAGGUAGCUGGAAUAAGUAGUGUAGCGGUGAAAUGCAUAGAGAUUACUUAGAACACCAAUUGCGAAGGCAGGUUACCAAGAUAUAACUGACGCUGAGGGACGAAAGCGUGGGGAGCGAACA